rnacentral:lncRNA from 14 species
GUCCCCUUCCCGAUUGCGCCCCCCACCCCACACCCCAGCUUUCGGCCUUCGGCGGACCGUUCCUUCAGACCCGGGGCACCUGUCCAGGUCCCGAGGGCAAGUGGACCGAACUUCAGAACCUCAGCCGGCCCGAGAGCUGAGGAGAAACCGGGGUUCAGGCACAUGCAGGUUCAGGGCUGGGGAGGCAGCUGGGAUGAGGAUGGAGCCCCGGGAGGAGAAAGCCCUGAAGACAAGGCGGGAUGCUGAGGGGAGGAAUGAGAAGCUGCUCCAGACGGGAGCAGCUGAUGAGGAAUUUGGGAGUAGAGCUGGGAUUAUCGGUUCCCGAGGAAUAAGUGGAAAUCUGAGGAUGAACUACAGAGGCUGAGGGUACAGCGGGACGCUAAGAAUUUGGGGAAUAGAUCGAUAAGAGGAGAUAUUGGGGAUGGAGUUGUCAGAGGCAUCCCCGCCCCCAGCCACCCAGCGCCCUCCCAGAACCAGGAGCCUGGGCCGGAAGGGUUCAAACGCAGCUGCAUCUCGUCCUAGCCGUGCCGUUGAGUCACUCGGUUGCUCAGUUUCCUAUAUGUGACUGGGGUGGUGAUGUCUGUCGCCACCACCGCAUAGGAAUGCUGUGAGGCCUCCUGCCAUUAAUCUAUGCAAAGUGCCGAGCAGCGAGGUUCAGAAACCUCAUUAAUUAUUCUCUCACCAGCAUCUCCUUCACCACUCCCCUCAGAGACGUUUCAGCCAUUCAGCCUUCCUCCCCCACGGACAUCCUGACAGACGGACAGAGGGCCCUGCCUGGCAUCGGUCCAUUCUUCAUCCUCUGUGGGACCCACCAACGGAAUUUGAUCCCACCCCUGCGUUCCUCGAUACCUCCCAUCAUCCCCCUACCAUGAGCCCCUUUCUUGGAGGCUGGCUCUUCUGUCUGCUACUGCUUUUCUCCCUGGGAGUCCAGGGGACCCCAGAGUAUCCUCGUGCUACACCGGAGCAAGUCCAUCUGUCCUACCCCGGUGAGCCAGGCACCAUGACUGUGACCUGGACCACGUGGGCUCCAGCCCGGUCUGAGGUGCAGUUCGGCACGCAGCUGUCUGGUCCUCUUCCAUUGCGUGCCCAUGGCACCUCCAGCGCCUUUGUGGAUGGAGGAGUUCUGCGG